rnacentral:rRNA from 1 species
GUUCAUGGCUCAGGAUGAACGCUAGCUACAGGCUUAACACAUGCAAGUCGAGGGGCAGCGGGAUUGAAGCUUGCUUCAAUUGCCGGCGACCGGCGCACGGGUGAGUAACGCGUAUCCAACCUUCCGUACACUCAGGGAUAGCCUUUCGAAAGAAAGAUUAAUACCUGAUGGUAUCUUAAGCACACAUGUAAUUAAGAUUAAAGAUUUAUCGGUGUACGAUGGGGAUGCGUUCCAUUAGGUAGUAGGG